ensembl:lncRNA
AACGCGGUUGCCACAGCAACGGUGGGGCGUGUCCGGCCAGGCACCCGGAGCGGAGCGUUCAUCCCGCAGACGCAGAUGCUGUUGCUCCUGAGACGAGAGGGCCCUUGAGGUACCGAGCCAGACGCGGAAGUGAGGCCAGUUCUCGGGGGGCUCUGUGGGCUCCAGCUGCCUCGCGGUGGGGUUCCAGAUCCAACACCGCAAGGCCCUUGGCGGCACUUUGCAGGGUUCCUUACGUGACACGGAUGCAACCCACUGGAGAGCCGUGUGCGCCUCGACUGCUCUCUGCCGUUUUGCGAUUGGCCUGCUCAUUUUCUCGAUGGCUCGUGAUGCAGCUUGAAACGGUAUUCAGUGGUCCAAGCAGCACUCACUGAGCCUUCCUCCCCCUGGCCAGCCACACUGGCCCUCGACAGAAGCCGCUGGCCAUGUGUUUUGGGCCCGUUACUGGACACUCUGUUGUGCUGCACUGAUUAAUUGGUCUCUUCCUUUUUCCAGUACCACACUGUCUCGAGUACUGAAGGCAUCGGUAUACUUUAUUGUUUUGAAAAACAGGAUCUGAAGCACAAGGAGGAAAAUGUUAACAUUUGUUAAAUCUAGUGGUGGGCACAAGGGUGUUGAAGCCUCUCAAAACAUUUAAAAACAUAAACAUUAUAAUGGAAGACAGGUUCCAGUCACAACAGCAACAAAAGCUUAUCAGUUCCUAAGAAUAAAAUAAAUGGACAAGUUCUUUAUUAAAAAAAAAAAAGGUUAUUGAAGAUGUUGAAUUUAUAUAAGUAAUUGAAAGAAAGAAUACGUUCCUGAAAGGAAAGACUGAGUAUUGUAAAUUUAAUGUAAUUUUUAUAAAAAUCAUAUGAGCAUUUUAGGAAGGUAGAUUCAUCCUCAAGUUAAUCUAGGCAAAGUCAAUAAGAGUGAAUAGCAAG